rnacentral:rRNA from 1 species
CGCACGAGCGCACCCCUACUGUUAGUUGCCAGCAUGUAAUGAUGGGGACUCUAACAGGACUGCCUACGCAAGUAGAGAGGAAGGAGGGGAUGACGUCAAGUCAUCAUGGCCCUUACGCCCAGGGCUACACACGUGCUACAAUGGAGAGUACAGAGGGUCGCUACCUGGUAACAGGAUGCCAAUCUCAAAAAGCUCUUCUCAGUUCGGAUUGAGGUCUGCAACUCGACCUCAUGAAGCUGGAAUCGCUAGUAAUCGCGCAUCAGCAAUGGCGCGGUGAAUACGUUCCCGGACCUUGNACACACCGCCCGU